rnacentral:rRNA from 1 species
CCUACGGGAGGCAGCAGUGAGGAAUAUUGGUCAAUGGACGAAAGUCUGAACCAGCCACGCAGCGUGAAGGAUGACUGCCUUAGGGGUUUUAACCUUUUUUGAUAGGGAAAUAAAAUGUUCCACUUUAGGGAUUAUCUAUGUCCGAUAGAAUUAACGAUGGCUAAAUUCCAUGCAGGCAGCCGCGGUAAUACGGAGUAUCCGAGCGUAAACCGGGUUUAUGGGGUUUAACGGGAGCGUAGGUGGAUUGUAAAGUAAGUUUGGAAAGCUUGCGGCUAAACGGUAAAAUUGCAGUUGAAACUGGCAGUCUGGAGUACAGUAGAGGUGGGAGGAAUUCGUGGUGUAGGGGUGAAAUGCUUAGAUAUCACGAAGAACACCGAUUGCGAAGGCAGCUCACUAGACCGCAACUGACGCUGAGGCUCGAAAGCGUGGGUAUCAAACAGGAUUAGAUACCCGAGUAGUC